GGGAACUGGGCUACCGUACUGAUCNGAGGUCACCUGAGAAAAUAAGGUUGGAGACGCCGGCUGGCGCCCGGCCGGCCCUAAUCGAGCGGGUGACAAAGCCCCAUACGCUCGAGGACCGGACACGGUGCCGCCGCUGCCUUUCGGGUCCGUCCCCCGGAGGGGGACGACGACCCAACACACAAGCCGGGCUUGAAGGGCAGCAAUGACGCUCGGACAGGCAUGCCCCCCGGAAUGCCAGGGGGCGCAAUGUGCGUUCAAAGACUCGAUGAUUCACUGAAUUCUGCAAUUCACAUUACUUAUCGCAGUUCGCUGCGUUCUUCAUCGAUGCCGGAACCAAGAGAUCCAUUGUUGAAAGUUUUGACUGAUUUGUAUUCAGACUCAGACUGCAUUACUCUCAGGCAUGAAGUUCAGUGGUCCCCGGCGGCUCGCCCCCUGGGGGGCUCCCCGCCGAACCAACCGGGUUCGGCAACCAUGGGUGGGAGGUGUGGACCUCGGAUCGGGUAGGGAUACCCGCAAGAACUCAAUCAUAUCAAUAAGCGAGAAGAAGCCGCGCGNUCCGGGUGCUAUUUNUUUGGGNUUGUGCUUGUCGCGGUGUUUGCGGCGGUUUGCCCUGUUGUGUCUGUCGUUGGUUGUCUUUGUUUUUUUUUCUUNUGCCUUUUUCCUGUUGUGCCCCUUAGGUGUGUGUGUCGUGUUUGGCGGUGGGUUCCCUUGUCUUCUGGGUGCGUGAUUGGUGCUGUGGAGUUGGUGCGU
rnacentral:misc_RNA from 1 species